CAGCAGCCGCGGGAAUACGUAGGGCGCAAGCGUUAUCCGGAAUUAUUGGGCGUAAAGAGCUCGUAGGCGGUUUGUCGCGUCUGCCGUGAAAGUCCGGGGCUCAACCCCGGAUCUGCGGUGGGUACGGGCAGACUAGAGUGAUGUAGGGGAGACUGGAAUUCCUGGUGUAGCGGUGAAAUGCGCAGAUAUCAGGAGUAACACCGAUGGCGAAGGCAGGUCUCUGGGCAUUAACUGACGCUGAGGAGCGAAAGCAUGGGGAGCGAACAGGAUUAGAUACCCCAGUAGUCCCUGUCUCUUAUAC
rnacentral:rRNA from 1 species